GUCCUAGCCCUAAACCAUCAGGACUUGGGGUGGCUCGCGUAGGCGGGUCGUCCCGAAGCUAACGCGUUAAGUCCUGCGCCUGGGGAGUACGGUCGCAAGACUGAAACUCAAAGGAAUUGACGGGGGCCCGCACAAGCGGUGGAACAUGUGGUUCAAUUCGACGCAACGCGAAGAACCUUACCUGGGCUUGAACCGCUGGUGAACAACGGUAGAAAUAUCGUAUUUUCGCAAGAAACACCAGUAGAGGUGCUGCAUGGCUGUCGU
rnacentral:rRNA from 1 species